rnacentral:lncRNA from 1 species
AAGGGAGCGCACAUGACAGCCUGUCCGCGGUUGGCAUAAAGCAAAAGGAACCUUAUCCUUAAGGAGGAAGCUUAUUGGAUCAUUUGAAUUAAAGCAAAAGCUUAUCCCUUGUAAUAGUGUAGUUUCCUAAACCCUAGUCUCUAAUGUCGCCUCUCUAUAUAUUGUAAACUCAUGUCAUUAAUCAAAGUAAGCAAGUUAUGAGUCUCUCUUAGUCUUUUAGUCUCUCAAUGGUUCUAUACUAGACUCUUAAUCUCAUUUCAUACUCAAAUCUCUUCUAAAUCACUUCUAGUCUUUCUUAUUCACUCAGAUUACUCUACUCAAUCCUAAAAGUGAUAUGGUAUCAGAGCCAGGUUCAUAGAGAACUUGGUUUCGUUG